UUUUCUGGUCCGGAUAAUUCUUAUGUGCUACUUCAGCAUAGACAUAAACUGCAUUUCUUAAUUUAUAUGACAUAUAUUGUAAAUUCCAAAAAUCUUUUCACCUUUAGGCUACGUAACGUGGCAAGGUUUGCACAUAAUUGUAAUUAUAGGGAUUUUGUUAACUGUGAGUUUUUGUUUGAAUUUUUCCAUGAGCAUAUUUACGUAAAAGCACUCCUUUUUUUUUUUUUGUUUUGUUUUUUUGUUUCAAAAUUACCGCUUUAGAAUAAUCCCUGUAAAGGUCCUUGGAAGUUCCAUUUUAUUUAUGGCAGUCGGUCCUUUCCUAUAGAAGGCUGGUGCAGCUGCAAACAAUUGGGCAAAUGUAAUUAUUUCCCUGGAU